rnacentral:rRNA from 1 species
UACGUAGGGUGCAAGCGUUGUCCGGAAUUAUUGGGCGUAAAGAGCUCGUAGGCGGUCUGUCGCGUCUGCUGUGAAAACUCGGGGCUUAACCCCGAGCCUGCUUCUGAUACGGGCAGACUAGAGGUAUGCAGGGGAGAACGGAAUUCCUGGUGUAGCGGUGAAAUGCGCAGAUAUCAGGAGGAACACCGGUGGCGAAGGCGGUUCUCUGGGCAUUACCUGACGCUGAGGAGCGAAAGUGUGGGGAGCGAACAGG